UACGUAGGGGGCAAGCGUUGUUCGGAAUUACUGGGCGUAAAGGGCUCGUAGGCGGCCAACUAAGUCGGAUGUGAAAUCCCCAGGCUUAACCUGGGAACUGCAUCCGAUACUGGAUGGCUUGAAUCCGGGAGAGGGAUGCAGAAUUCCCGGUGUAGCGGUGAAAUGCGUAGAGAUCGGGAAGAACACCAAUGGCGAAAGCACUCUGCUGGGCCGAAACUGACACUGAGAGACGAAAGCUAGGGGAGCGAAUGGG
rnacentral:rRNA from 1 species